rnacentral:rRNA from 1 species
ACGCGGGGAAUCUUACCGGGUCCGGACACACUGAGGAUUGACAGGCAAAUCUAAUAGAGUCUUUCUUAUUUCUAAUAAGAAUAGAUUUCUAUUUGUUAUAAAGAUGCUAGUCCUUUCAUGAUUAUGUGAUAGGUGGUGCAUGGCCGUUCUUAGUUCGUGGAGUGAUCUGUCUGCUUAAUUGCGUUUCACUAAGGUCCCAGUAAUCUAAGGUAUGCUCGUCUACUUAUCUCAUAUGACGCUGAUAGACCCCUCGUAAGAGCGCGUUGUCUAUUGCGUUAAUAUAUGUAACAAGUGACACAUACUGUUGGGAUCUGAAAGCAACGAACGUGACCGCAACGUCUUGUUGCCUUUCUAAUUUAUUCUAAUUCUUUUGUAAUUAGUUUAAUAACAAAGGCUAUUCUUUAAACUAGACGGACCGCUGUUUCUCUUUUAAACCAGAGGAAGGUUGCGGCAAUAACAGGUCUUGUGAUGC